rnacentral:pre_miRNA from 1 species
GUUUUAGUUCAAACGGAGGGAGUACUUGUCAUCAAAAUGAACAAAGGAGGAUGUAUCUAGACAUAUUUUAGUUCUAGAUACAUCCCUUUUUAUUUAUUUUGAUGACAAGUAUUUACGGACGGAGGGAGUACUUC